GACGAACGCGGCGGCGUGCUUAAUACAUGCAAGUAGAACGCUGAAGGAGGAGCUUGCUUCUCUGGAUGAGUUGCGAACGGGUGAGUAACGCGUAGGUAACCUGCCUGGUAGCGGGGGAUAACUAUUGGAAACGAUAGCUAAUACCGCAUAAGAGUAGAUGUUGCAUGACAUUUGCUUAAAAGGUGCAAUUGCAUCACUACCAGAUGGACCUGCGUUGUAUUAGCUAGUUGGUGGGGUAACGGCUCACCAAGGCGACGAUACAUAGCCGACCUGAGAGGGUGAUCGGCCACACUGGGACUGAGACACGGCCCAGACUCCUACGGGAGGCAGCAGUAGGGAAUCUUCGGCAAUGGACGGAAGUCUGACCGAGCAACGCCGCGUGAGUGAAGAAGGUUUUCGGAUCGUAAAGCUCUGUUGUAAGAGAAGAACGAGUGUGAGAGUGGAAAGUUCACACUGUGACGGUAUCUUACCAGAAAGGGACGGCUAACUACGUGCCAGCAGCCGCGGUAAUACGUAGGUGGCAAGCGUUAUCCGGAUUUAUUGGGCGUAAAGAGAGUGCAGGCGGUUUUCUAAGUCUGAUGUGAAAGCCUUCGGCUUAACCGGAGAAGUGCAUCGGAAACUGGAUAACUUGAGUGCAGAAGAGGGUAGUGGAACUCCAUGUGUAGCGGUGGAAUGCGUAGAUAUAUGGAAGAACACCAGUGGCGAAGGCGGCUACCUGGUCUGCAACUGACGCUGAGACUCGAAAGCAUGGGUAGCGAACAGG
rnacentral:rRNA from 1 species